rnacentral:rRNA from 1 species
CAGUCGCCACGGGAAUACAGAGGGUGCGAGCGUUAAUCGGAUUUACUGGGCGUAAAGCGUGCGUAGGCGGCUUUUUAAGUCGGAUGUGAAAUCCCUGAGCUUAACUUAGGAAUUGCAUUCGAUACUGGGAAGCUAGAGUAUGGGAGAGGAUGGUAGAAUUCCAGGUGUAGCGGUGAAAUGCGUAGAGAUCUGGAGGAAUACCGGUGGCGAAGGCGGCCCCCUGGACAAAGACUGACGCUCAGGUGCGAAAGCGUGGGGAGCAAACAGGAUUAGAUACCCCUGUAGUCCCUGUCUCUUAUAA